rnacentral:siRNA from 1 species
ACGUAUAUGAUACGUGGUCUUCAC